rnacentral:rRNA from 1 species
ACGUACGCUGGCGGCACGCCUAACACAUGCAAGUCGAACGAAGUAGCAAUACUUAGUGGCAGACGGGUGAGUAACAUGUAGGUAUCUGCCCUUUGGCCUGGAAUAACACGAGGAAACUUGUGCUAAUACCGGAUAAGUCUUUACGGAGAAAGCUUUAUGCACCAUUGGAUGAGCCUGCACUUGAUUAGUUUGUUGGUGGGGUAAUGGCCUACCAAGACUGUGAUCAAUAGCUGAUUUGAGAGGAUGAUCAGCCACAUUGGGACUGAGACACGGCCCAAGCUCCUACGGGAGGCAGCAGUGGGGAAUCUUGCACAAUGGAGGAAACUCUGAUGCAGCGAUGCCGCGUGAGUGAAGAAGGCCCUUGGGUUGUAAAGCUCUUUCGUCGGGGAAGAAAAUGACUGUACCCGAAUAAGAAGGUCCGGCUAACUUCGUGCCAGCAGCCGCGGUAAUACGAAGGGACCUAGCGUAGUUCGGAAUUACUGGGCUUAAAGAGUUCGUAGGUGGUUGAAAAAGUUGGUGGUGAAAUCCCAGAGCUUAACUCUGGAACUGCCAUCAAAACUUUUCAGCUAGAGUAUGAUAGAGGAAAGCAGAAUUUCUAGUGUAGAGGUGAAAUUCGUAGAUAUUAGAAAGAAUACCAAUUGCGAAAGCAGCUUUCUGGAUCAUUACUGACACUGAGGAACGAAAGCAUGGGUAGCGAAGAGGAUUAGAUACCCUCGUAGUCCAUGCCGUAAACGAUGUGUGUUAGACGUUGGAAAUUUAUUUUCAGUGUCGCAGCGAAAGCGAUAAACACACCGCCUGGGGAGUACGACCGCAAGGUUAAAACUCAAAUGAAUUGACGGGGACCCGCACAAGUAGUGGAGCAUGUGGUUUAAUUCGAAGAUACGCGCAGAACCUUACCAACACUUGACAUGUUCGUCGCGACUUUAAGAGAUUAAAGUUUUCGGUUCGGCCGGACGAAACACAGGUGCUGCAUGGCUGUCGUCAGCUCGUGUCGUGAGAUGUUGGGUUAAGUCCCGCAACGAGCGCAACCCUCACUUUUAGUUGCCAUCAUUAAGUUGGGCACUCUGAAAGAACUGCCAGUGAUAAGCUGGAGGAAGGUGGGGAUGACGUCAAGUCCUCAUGGCCCUUACGUGUUGGGCUACACACGUGCUACAAUGGUAUCUACAACAGGAAGCAAGACGGCGACGUCAAGCAAAUCCUUAAAAGAUACCUCAGUUCGGAUUGCACUCUGCAACUCGAGUGCAUGAAGCUGGAAUUACUAGUAAUCGUGGAUCAGCGUGCCACGGUGAAUGCGUUCCCGGGUCUUGUACACACCGCCCGUCACACCAUGGGAGUUGGUUCUACCUUAAGGCAAGGUUUAAAACCCUUGACCACGGUAUAGUCAGCGACUGGGGUGA